rnacentral:rRNA from 1 species
CUUGCAAGUGCUAGUAAAGUGGCGCACGGGUGAGUACACGUGGGUAAUCUCCCUUCAAGUUCGGGAUAGGAGGGCGAAAGCGCUGCUAAUACCGGAUAACAUAGCCCGGGCUUUGGCCUGGGAUAUCAAAGGUGGCCUCUCGAUGAAGCUAUCGCUUGAGGAUGAGCCCGCGGACCAUUAGCUUGUUGGUGGGGUAAUGGCCCACCAAGGCGACGAUGGUUAGCUGGUCUGAGAGGAUGAUCAGCCACACUGGAACUGAGAGACGGUCCAGACUCCUACGGGAGGCAGCAGUGAGGAAUUUUGCGCAAUGGGGGAAACCCUGACGCAGCAACGCCGCGUGAGUGAUGAAGGCUUUCGGGUCGUAAAGCUCUGUUGGGUGGGAAGAACCCGUAUUGUGAACAAUACCACAAAGCGCUGACGGUACCACCUGAGGAAGCACCGGCUAACUCCGUGCCAGCAGCCGCGGUAAUACGGAGGGUGCAAGCGUAAUUCGGAAUUAUUGGGCGUAAAGCGCGCGUAGGCGGUUCGGUAAGUCAGCUGUGAAAGCCCAUGGCUCAACCAUGGAAGUGCAGUUGAUACUAUCGAACUUGAGUAUGGGAGAGGGAAGCGGA